rnacentral:rRNA from 1 species
AACGAACGCUGGCGGCAUGCCUAACACAUGCAAGUCGAACGAGACCUUCGGGUCUAGUGGCGCACGGGUGCGUAACGCGUGGGAACCUGCCCUUAGGUUCGGAAUAACUCCCCGAAAGGGGUGCUAAUACCGGAUAAUGUCUUCGGACCAAAGAUUUAUCGCCUUUGGAUGGGCCCGCGUUGGAUUAGCUAGUUGGUAGGGUAAAAGCCUACCAAGGCGACGAUCCAUAGCUGGUCUGAUAGGAUGAUCAGCCACACUGGGAAUGCGACACGGCCCAGACUCCUACGGGAGGGAGCAGUGGGGAAUAUUGGACACUGGGCGAAAGCCUGAUCAAGCCAUGCCGGGUGAGUGAUGAAGGCCUUAGGGUUGUAAAGCCCUUUUAGCCGGGAUGAUAAUGACAGUACCGGGAGAAUAAGCUCCGGCUAACUACGUG